AGAGUUUGAUCAUGGCUCAGAUUGAACGCUGGCGGCAGGCCUAACACAUGCAAGUCGAACGGUAACAGGAAGCAGCUUGCUGCUUCGCUGACGAGUGGCGGACGGGUGAGUAAUGUCUGGGAAACUGCCUGAUGGAGGGGGAUAACUACUGGAAACGGUAGCUAAUACCGCAUAACGUCGCAAGACCAAAGAGGGGGACCUUCGGGCCUCUUGCCAUCAGAUGUGCCCAGAUGGGAUUAGCUUGUUGGUGGGGUAACGGCUCACCAAGGCGACGAUCCCUAGCUGGUCUGAGAGGAUGACCAGCCACACUGGAACUGAGACACGGUCCAGACUCCUACGGGAGGCAGCAGUGGGGAAUAUUGCACAAUGGGCGCAAGCCUGAUGCAGCCAUGCCGCGUGUAUGAAGAAGGCCUUCGGGUUGUAAAGUACUUUCAGCGGGGAGGAAGGUGUUGUGGUUAAUAACCACAGCAAUUGACGUUACCCGCAGAAGAAGCACCGGCUAACUCCGUGCCAGCAGCCGCGGUAAUACGGAGGGUGCAAGCGUUAAUCGGAAUUACUGGGCGUAAAGCGCACGCAGGCGGUCUGUUAAGUCAGAUGUGAAAUCCCCGGGCUCAACCUGGGAACUGCAUCUGAUACUGGCAGGCUUGAGUCUCGUAGAGGGGGGUAGAAUUCCAGGUGUAGCGGUGAAAUGCGUAGAGAUCUGGAGGAAUACCGGUGGCGAAGGCGGCCCCCUGGACGAAGACUGACGCUCAGGUGCGAAAGCGUGGGGAGCAAACAGGAUUAGAUACCCUGGUAGUCCACGCCGUAAACGAUGUCGACUUGGAGGUUGUGCCCUUGAGGCGUGGCUUCCGGAGCUAACGCGUUAAGUCGACCGCCUGGGGAGUACGGCCGCAAGGUUAAAACUCAAAUGAAUUGACGGGGGCCCGCACAAGCGGUGGAGCAUGUGGUUUAAUUCGAUGCAACGCGAAGAACCUUACCUGGUCUUGACAUCCACGGAAGUUUUCAGAGAUGAGAAUGUGCCUUCGGGAACCGUGAGACAGGUGCUGCAUGGCUGUCGUCAGCUCGUGUUGUGAAAUGUUGGGUUAAGUCCCGCAACGAGCGCAACCCUUAUCCUUUGUUGCCAGCGGUUAGGCCGGGAACUCAAAGGAGACUGCCAGUGAUAAACUGGAGGAAGGUGGGGAUGACGUCAAGUCAUCAUGGCCCUUACGACCAGGGCUACACACGUGCUACAAUGGCAUAUACAAAGAGAAGCGACCUCGCGAGAGCAAGCGGACCUCAUAAAGUAUGUCGUAGUCCGGAUUGGAGUCUGCAACUCGACUCCAUGAAGUCGGAAUCGCUAGUAAUCGUGGAUCAGAAUGCCACGGUGAAUACGUUCCCGGGCCUUGUACACACCGCCCGUCACACCAUGGGAGUGGGUUGCAAAAGAAGUAGGUAGCUUAACCUUCGGGAGGCGCUUACCACUUUGUGAUUCAUGACUGGGGUGAAGUCGUAACAAGGUAACCGUAGGGGAACCUGCGGUUGGAUCACCU
rnacentral:rRNA from 1 species